GUGUGGGAAGCCAUCCUGACACGUGACUGGGCGGCUCCUGUUAAGGGUCUGAGGCUUCUGGCUGUGUCGGAAUUUUCCCGGCCCUUUCCUGAUGAGAGAACCCGUCCAUGUAGGGGUGUGACUGACCACUGACCCCAGGGGCCCAAUCACUGACCCUGACCUUGGAGUGCAGUCCCCCCUCAACCUUCAUUGGAUGGAAUUAUCCCUUGAAUUUCUUGUUCCCCAAUAAAAGGCUACUCCCUGGCGUGUUCACUCUCUCUCUCUCCUGCUAGCCCUGAGUAAUCCUUGCUGCCCUGCUGGGCAGUUAGAGGUUGGAGCCAGAGAGGGGAGCCGUCUUGGACCUGGCAAUAGAAAUAAGGUAACUGAGUCUGUGUGUUUUAUUUCGAUCUCUUCUAACUAACUUUAUGCCAAGAACCUCAUUAAUGAAACCAUUGCACAGGCCGCAUGGUAGAUCCAUGGGAUCUGAGGUACCCCCCACUGCCAGUCAUGUCAUUCUCACUUGGGGCCUGGCCAUUAGUUUUGGGUCUUUGUCUGUUCUAUUCUUUGUAUUAAAGCAUACUUGAAGUUUAAGUGUGAUUAAUCUGUGUGUGAAAUGAGGUACACUAUAUUUUGGCUGGGUUUGGUUCAGCAGCAAAAUCUCUAAUCUGUGAGCUUGUAGUGUCCCUGUAGAUUUUUAUCACCUCACAGAGAAACAAUAGCAACAACCCAAGCAACAAAUACAGCAUUCAAAUAAAACCCUUGUCUGUUAUGACAUCUAGAACACGAAUUACCACAGAAAUGGGAACCAUGGGGCCAGUGAUUGCCAACAGCAAGAACAAUGAGUAAUUGUUAACUAGAUCUGGCAUAAAUCAGCAGGUGUCAGUACUGAUAACUGCAGCAACAUAAAUGGCAGGGGCACAAUCCUAUAAACUAGAUAGGCCAAAAGAUGGUGAAAAUACAGCUCAUUGAGAGAAAAAAGUGUGAUAGGAAGGUUGAAGAAAGUUUAGAAUGUUCAAAAUGUGAACAGAGAAAAGCUGAAGAGAUAAAGUGAUGGUUCUUGAAAAGGAGGAGGAAAAAUAGAAAAAAAAAGUAAAGGGAGAAGGAGAGAACAGAGAAUAUGGAUGUUAAGGGAGAAUAAAAGAGACCAAGAGAAAACAACAAACCCAAAGUAAACAAACCACACACCCUGACCCUCAAAGACACGGUGAGGGAGAAUAAUUGUCACAAAGAAUGCUAAAAAGGAGAAAAAAGACACACACACACACACACACACACACACACAUCCACAAACCAUGCAGCACAGCAAGAGUCACCACAAAGGAAAAAGGAGGAAAAAAAUAUUCUUAAUGAAAAGUGAAAGAGCUGUCUCCACUGAGGAGGUCAGAACAGCUGACAAGGGUGACGUCACUGCUGUGCCCCGCUGUCCUUUCUGCCAUCUUUUCUUGGGCCAUGGGCUGGAAGAGAGCAGGCUGGGGUUGCUAACCGCUUGCUCUCCCGUGUGGCUCGCGGAGCUGCGGGCUGGAGUGGCUGGACGGACGGGAACACUGCUUCUAUCAGAACAACCUGAGUGUAUCUGAGACAAUAAGCCAUCACCUAUAGGACAGAAAGAACACAAGGCUGAAUUCCAGGGCUAAUACUGACCCCAAUUAAAUGGAAGGGGCGACAACAAAACUAUAGAUAUGCAGGUUGAAAUCCAGUACUCCGACUUCAAGUGUUCCCAAGAAGGAUCUCUGAGGAAUCUCAGCUGACCCCAACAGAGGUAGGAACAGGGUCAGUUUUGACCAACUUGGUAUUAAGCAUGUGGUGACAGAGUGUGGCCAAAGCACAGCCACACAUGGACAUUAGGAAAAGGCAUGGUCUCUUUAAGGUAACUUGAGGUGCACAUUUGUGUCAGUCCUCCCCAAAUCAGUGAAACUGCAAGGUUGGGAAGGAAGGGUCUUUACACAGGAGUGCCUGAUAAAUAUCAAAAUGAGCAGUCA